UGUGCGCUCUCAGUCAGCAGCAGCCUGCGUGUGUGAGGGACGGGAUGCUGCGCAGUCCGCACAAAUAUAGGGGGCACUUUGUUGCACUAAUAAUCGGCGAGUUCAUCGGAGGUGAUGCAGCUAUCGAUGUAAUUUAGAUAACAUUUCCAAAGGAGAACCUGUGGAGCAUAAAUGAAUGGAGUUGGCCAAUGAGCAAGAAAAUGUUGUCAGUCCUGCUCCAGAAGGUUGCACUAGCCGGCGUUGAAGAAAAUCUGCCAGUAAACAGGAUGAGGAGCGACUGUCAGCCUGCAGAUGGAAACRAGGGUGGGUGGCUAGAAGGCUGGAUAAAGGCUGGUGGAUGACUGAACCCGGCGACCCGGUGCAGCUCAUCAUCAUUGCCGGGGGCCUCUCGUCUUCUUCCUCAUCUCCCGUGGCUCGUACCUCCAUCCAGGGGUCUAGCGGAGCCCAGCGAAGCCCAGCCGGGGAGCUAGUGAGUGGGCUGGGAAGGAUGGAGAAGGUCCCUGAAGGCAAAAAUCACCUCUGGAGCUAUCAGCGUGCUAGAGAAAUCGAUAUGAAACACAGAAUCUUCACAGCUUUGAGUGGGGUUUCCUGUGUUUUUAAGUGUGUGGCCCGGAGGCCCUGCAGACCUGCAAAGGACAUCCCCUGCGCGUCUCUCUCAGCUGCAGCCCCAGCUCCUUCUCUGGACCUCAGCCCUGAUCUCAACUGGCUGCGUGUGGUUCUGCUGAAGGGGUGUUUCUCCCCAAAUGAUACCCAGAGUUUUAAAAAACUGCUCUGAGGCAUAUUCCUUUUUUUUUUUUUCUUUUUUUUUUUCCCCAUCACGAGAUUGACACAUCCCACCACCUUCUGCCUCUGGCAACCAGCUUGGAAGUCCUCCCUUUGACUCA